AUUGAACGCUGGCGGCAGGCCUAACACAUGCAAGUCGAGCGCGAAAGUUCUUCGGAAUGAGUAAAGCGGCUGACGGGUGGGUAAUGCAUGGGAAUCGGCCUGGUAGUGGGGGAGAACGUCUCGAAAGGGGCGCUAAUACGGUAUACGCGCUACGUGGGAAAGGGGGGGAGCUUCGGACGUGUCGGUAGGUGUUGAGGCCAUGUCAGAUUAGCUAGUUGGUGGGGUAAAGGCCUACCAAGGCGACGAUCUGUAACUGGUCUGAGAGGAUGAUCAGUCACACUGGAACUGAGACACGGUCCAGACUCCUACGGGAGGCAGCAGUGGGGAAUAUUGCACAAUGGGCGAAAGCCUGAUCCAGCCAUGCCGCGUGUGUGAAGAAGGCCUUAGGGUUGUAAAGCACUUUCAGUGGGGAGAAAGGCUGUUUACUUAAUCCGUACGCAGAUUGAUGUUACCCACAGAAGAAGCCCCGGCUAACUCCGUG
rnacentral:rRNA from 1 species